CCUACGGGGGGCUGCAGUGGGGAAUAUUGGACAAUGGGGGGAACCCUGAUCCAGCCAUGCCGCGUGUGUGAAGAAGGCCCUCGGGUUGUAAAGCACUUUCAGUGAGGAAGAACGCCUGGUGGUUAAUACCCAUCAGGAAAGACAUCACUCACAGAAGAAGCACCGGCUAACUCCGUGCCAGCAGCCGCGGUAAUACGGAGGGUGCGAGCGUUAAUCGGAAUUACUGGGCGUAAAGCGCGCGUAGGUGGCUUGAUAAGCCGGUUGUGAAAGCCCCGGGCUCAACCUGGGAACGGCAUCCGGUACUGUCAAGCUAGAGUGCAGGAGAGGAAGGUAGAAUUCCCGGUGUAGCGGUGAAAUGCGUAGAGAUCGGGAGGAAUACCAGUGGCGAAGGCGGCCUUCUGGACUGACACUGACACUGAGGUGCGAAAGCGUGGGUAGCAAACAGGAUUAGAUACCCGAGUAGUC
rnacentral:rRNA from 1 species